GAAAGAUGAAAAGAACUUUGAAAAGAGAGUUAAACAGUACGUGAAAUUGUUGAAAGGGAAACGAUUGAAGCCAGUCGUACCUUCGGGUAAUCAGCCUUUCGGGUGCGAUUCUGUGGAGUGUGAGGAGCUUAACACCUUCAUGCUUUGCAUAUUCGUGCUCUUGGGUGUACUUGCCCGUGUGGUUGGUUAACAUCAAUUUUGGUGGUCAUAAAAUGACUGGAGGAAUGUAGCUUCGAUCUUGUAUUGAAGUGUUAUA
rnacentral:rRNA from 1 species